rnacentral:misc_RNA from 1 species
GAUGAAGAACGUAGCGAAAUGCGAUACUUGGUGUGAAUUGCAGAAUCCCGUGAACCAUCGAGUCUUUGAACGCAAGUUGCGCCCGAAGCCUUUUGGCCGAGGGCACGUCUGCCUGGGCGUCACGCAUCGCGUCGCCCCCCACAAUUCUCCGUAAAAGGAACAUGUGUUUUGGGGGCGGAUAUUGGUCUCCCGUGCUCAUGGCGUGGUUGGCCGAAAUAGGAGUCCUUUCGAUGGACGCACGAACUAGUGGUGGUCGUAAAAACCCUCGUCUUUUGUUUCGUGCUGUUGCUCGCAAGGUAAACUCUUUAAAAACCCCAAUGUGUCGUCUCUUGACGACGCUUCGACCGCGACCCCAGGUCAGGCGGGACUACCCGCUGAGUUUAAGCAUAUCAAUAAGCGGAGGA